GGCUUAUAAUUGAAGUCUGGCAUGAAAGGGAACACGGGAAUGAGCUGUCUUAUUAAAUUUUUGCGAAUUUACUUAGUAAGUGAAAAUUCUUACCAAAGGAAAAUAGACGAGAAGACCCUAGAAAUUUUUUACAUAUACAAUAUUUACUAUUUUGUUGGGGCGACACGGUAACAUUAGAACUUACCUAUUAUAUUUGAAUAUAUUUAUAUGAAUAACUAAAUUACUCUAGGGAUAACAGCAUUAUUUAUUAUAAAGUUUGUGACCUCGAUGUUGGACUAGGACAUAUUUUACCUAGAAAGUAUAAUAUAUGCUCUGU
rnacentral:rRNA from 1 species